AGGGGUAGCAGGGGCACGUCAAGCACGUGCGAUCGCGAUGUCGGGCAAAAGAGGUAGUACGAAAGGCUUUAAAAAGCCGUUGGCUUCAAGGACAAAAACUAACCGAAUUCGCAAAGGUCAGAGCAGUAGCGCCAACCCGAAUCAACGAAAAUUUCGUGAUGAAGCGAAGAGCAAGGUGUUCGGAUUUGGAGCGUUCCCUUCCAAAGGUGGCGGAACACUGACAGUGGAGCAACUUCAGCAGCACAAUGGUUGUGCACAUGACGAAGCUUCUUUGGUUGGGGAAGCUGAUGCACAGGAUCGACUCAGCAUUGCUGAAACUGAAAGCAAUCACACUGCAGAAUCAGACUGGACACUUGGCUC
rnacentral:lncRNA from 1 species